GGCAGACACCAGAGAGACUUUUUCCGUGCCUCUUCUGCCGAUGGAAACGCUGCAGGGCCAGGACAGUGUGGGUGCAGGUGGCCUGACAUUUGGAAGAGCGAUGGGCAGGCUUCGCGCGGCCGGCGGCUUGCCUGAAGGAGAACACCCCCUGCUUCCUUGAAAAUCUGCGCUCUGGUGCCUCUUUCACCCGGGGGUAGAUGUCUCUGCAGAAUCCCAGUGGCUUCUGUGGCUCCCAAGACUGUCGCAGAUAGGAGGUACCAAGGCUUAUGGGCAACUUGGAUUGGCAAAGCAGACCGAGACGAGGCGUGUGUGCCUCUAGGAAUAGCUCCUGGGUGGAUUGUGGAAUUGUCUGCGCUGGCUGGAAUGUGUUUGCCUUUUUAAAUGUCACCCGCACACUUGAAAGAGUUAUUUUUGCGAGGAGCAGCGCUUCUAACGCUGCACACCUGGAAAGUUUCCCUCUGCAAAGAAGCCCUCUGGGUCCCUCCGGUACGGCACUGUGCAACGUAGCGCUCACCGAUGCUGGCUGCUCGGCGUGCACAGAUUACUAAGCAACUGCACAGCGCGAGGCGCUCGCUGGAUCUGCUCCUGCCCGCCGCUGCGUCUCCAGAGCAAACCACCGCCUCCCCCUGCGCCUUGCGAAGGAGCAGCCCUGGAUUGUCCAGAAGCUCAAUCAUGAGCUGGGCAGGCUCAUGGAUCUUUGGGAUGGCUACCAAAAGGGUUUUUUGCCUUCUUCUGUCAAGGCGAAGCAGGAAGAGGGACUUGCAGAUGCCAGGCACCCUUUUUCCUGACAGAUCUGAGCGUGUGAAGUCCCUGGCGUGGAAGGAGUUAAAGCUUCAUCUUUCCGUUUCUUCCCCCCCCCCAACCACCACCACUUGCAGUUCUUGAAUUCAUC
rnacentral:lncRNA from 1 species